CCGCCAGCUGGCCGCCCCCGCUCCCCGCCCCGCCGGGACGGGCCCAGCCGCACGCUGGCCGCGAUUGCGCCAUCGGCGGCUGCCGCUUGCACGCUCCUGCACGUGGCGCACACAGCACAUCCGGCGCGCAGGGCGGGUCCCCACCCAACCCCGCCGGGCUGCCCCCGGCCCAGCCCCCUCCUCCUCGCCCCCGCAACCCCUGGCCCAACCCCCUCCUCCUCCCCCAGCCCCUACCCUCAGCGAACACCGGGACCAGACUGAGUCCCCAGCAGCCCAGUCAGCCGGCGGCGGCUGGAGCUUCGUCUCAGACACCUUUGAUGGCUGCCCUUUGCUCUGUCUGGUCUGAGAGGACAAAUGAGGGAAAUUGAUGACCCACAAGACAGAGGCAGCCAGCCGGUUUACCAUGGUUCCCCUGAGCCUACAGAUCUCCGAUGGCUCCCAGUGGUGGCUGCAGCUUGAAAGUCACUCAGAGUAGAAGGGAGGAGCCACCACCUCUGAGCGUGGGCGAGGCCAGGAUCCUCCCUCCAGCAAUUUUACCUGUUUCCACCAUGGGGCAAGGAAGAACUGAAGCACUGUGAGACCUACAAUUCAGCUGCACCUGCUCAUCUUGGCUCCCAUCCCUGCCCUGGCCUUCUGCUGGGCUGCCCCAGCAGCACUUGGCCACCUCCUGCAGCAAGAGCAGGAUGCAACUGAGCAGGACACCUGCGCUGGGGAACCAGGAGGGCUCAGGGAAUCGAGCAGAAGGCACAGGAGGGCUGUUAUGAGAGCUUUUCUUUAGCACUCCAUGAAGCUGCUGCAUUUGCUGAGGUCUGCACAAUGAGGCGUGUUGCCUCACUCUCCCAGGAAGUUUUAAGAGUCUCUGGCUCUGGAAAGGAAGACAUCCAUAGACCUGCAGAAGCUGCCACCAAGCUCUUUCCCAAGGAACAGAAUUCAAACCCUGAUGCUCCAAGUCUAGAGCUGGCCAGCCCUGGAGGCCAGGAAUGAUAUUCAGAUUUGGCAACAAUGUUCCUGGGUUUUGCCAAGGCAGGCCUAAAGCUCCCUGGGCCUAGGCCUCAUUGCCUGCCAAAGUUCACCUGUGGUCCUGGGGUUCCACGCUAUGGCAGAGCCUCAGUUUUGUCAUCUAAAGGAUGUUUUGUCAUGAGGGACAUGAGAUGCUGUUACGUGACAGUGCCAAGCCAGGCCCCACCUGGGACGGGGCGAGGGCCUCCAUGGCUGCUGCAGAAAUCAGAAGGAGCUAGGAGCUGCCUGAGGAACCAGGGCCAAGUUUGGAGCAGAACAUCCUAUGAUGUGGUUCCUAGUUUUUAUUUCCACGAAUGCCAUAAUAUGUUGUCCCACCGAGCUAUUUUUAUUGAAUAAAAAAAAUUUUUUUAAAGCAAA